UUUGGGAGAGCAAGGAACUCAGUGAAACUCUGGGGCUGUGCCGCAACGGUCAAAGUCCGGAACUUCCUCACAAA
rfam:Microgenomates bacterium GW2011_GWA2_46_7 TX62_C0042, whole genome shotgun sequence.